GACAUAUUGCUUUUUUUUUUUUAUUUUGCUUUAUUUAGAUCAAUGCCCGCACUCAGCUCAGGGUUUCCAGUCUCUUUCCCUCUGCAUACUGGUUUGGCCAAGCGCUUGUGGAUGUCAUUCUUUAUUGGAUUUUACUCUUCCUGAUGUUGUUUAUAUACUUUGCAUUUAACAGCUUCUUUCUAUUGGAUUUUGUUCCUGCUAUGGUGAUGAUCACCGGCAUCAUUGGAUAUGGCAUGGCAAUGAUCCUGUAUGUUUAUGUCAUCUGCUUUAUUUUUGGAAAAGGAAAAAGUCACAACGACAGCUGGUCAUUAUUCUUUGUUAUAACAUCUUAUUUUCCAGCUAUGGCAAUGGGUACCUGGAUUUUUCCGAUGCUCUAUGUAUUACUCAUCAUUUUUCCUGGGAGUGCUCUAAAUGGAAUCAUGGAAUACACUGUAAGUGAAAUUGUUUAUUAAUGUACAAUAAUUACAUUAUGAACAGAAGUGCAUUUUUGGAUUUGGCCUCCAUACCGGAUACUUCACAAAAGAUUCAGACCACUCCUAAACCAAAUAUGAACCCCUAUUUGAAUAUUAAACAA